GGAAGGAUUAGGAACCAGGUAGGACAGUGGGUUAGGGUUUAGAGUGUGUUAGGAAGGAUUAGGAACCAGGUAGGACAGUGGGUUAGGGGGUUUAGAGUGUGUUAGGAAGGAUUAGGAACCAGGUAGGACAGUGGGUUAGGGGGUUUAGAGUGUGUUAGGAAGGAUUAGGAACCAGGUAGGACAGUGGGUUAGGGUUUAGAGUGUGUUAGGAAGGAUUAGGAACCAGGUAGGACAGUGGGUUAGGGUUUAGAGUGUGUUAGGAAGGAUUAGGAACCAGGUAGGACAGUGGGUUAGGGUUUAGAGUGUGUUAGGAAGGAUUAGGAACCAGGUAGGACAGUGGGUUAGGGGUUUUAGAGUGUGUUAGGAAGGAUUAGGAACCAGGUAGGACAGUGGGUUAGGGGUUUAGAGUGUGUUAGGAAGGAUUAGGAACCAGGUAGGACAGUGGGU
rnacentral:lncRNA from 1 species